AUUACACAGUAUACACAAUUGAGGGAAUCCAGUUUUUUCAGUGAAUAAUGCUGUGAAAAGGAAAAAAUCAAUAAAAAAACAACUUUGAUUACAGAUUAAUGUCAGGUUUAAUAUAUCCAUCUUGUGAUUGUAACAGUGCCAUUUAGUUUAAUCUGUAGUAGUGAAGUUUGUCAGCAAACACUUGGGGUCAUUCACAGGUACUUUGCUGUGAUGAGACUAGUAUUAAUAAAUGCUGCAUUAAUUAUUAA